AGAGUUUGAUCCUGGCUCAGGACGAACGCUGGCGGCGCGCCUAACACAUGCAAGUCGAACGGAGCAUUGAGAGCUUGCUUUUAAUGCUUAGUGGCGAACGGGUGAGUAACGCGUGAGUAACCUGCCCUGGAGUGGGGGACAACAGUUGGAAACGACUGCUAAUACCGCAUAAGCCCACGGAUCCGCAUGGAUCUGCGGGAAAAGGAUUUAUUCGCUUCAGGAUGGACUCGCGUCCAAUUAGCUAGUUGGUGAGGUAACGGCCCACCAAGGCGACGAUUGGUAGCCGGACUGAGAGGUUGAACGGCCACAUUGGGACUGAGACACGGCCCAGACUCCUACGGGAGGCAGCAGUGGGGGAUAUUGCACAAUGGGGGAAACCCUGAUGCAGCGACGCCGCGUGGAGGAAGAAGGUUUUCGGAUUGUAAACUCCUGUCGUUAGGGACGAUAAUGACGGUACCUAACAAGAAAGCACCGGCUAACUACGUGCCAGCAGCCGCGGUAAAACGUAGGGUGCAAGCGUUGUCCGGAAUUACUGGGUGUAAAGGGAGCGCAGGCGGGAAGACAAGUUGGAAGUGAAAUCCAUGGGCUCAACCCAUGAACUGCUUUCAAAACUGUUUUUCUUGAGUAGUGCAGAGGUAGGUGGAAUUCCCGGUGUAGCGGUGGAAUGCGUAGAUAUCGGGAGGAACACCAGUGGCGAAGGCGGCCUACUGGGCACCAACUGACGCUGAGGCUCGAAAGCAUGGGUAGCAAACAGGAUUAGAUACCCUGGUAGUCCAUGCCGUAAACGAUGAUUACUAGGUGU
rnacentral:rRNA from 1 species